UAUGUGACCAGAUUUUGUGAUUAUUAACAUAAAAUAAUUAUAGUAGCAUUUAUUUUCAAAUACCAGAAAAAUAGUGUUUAGAUAUAAUUUUUACUGUCAGUUAUGAUGAUCAUUAUUUACAACAUUUAUUAACAUAUUAUAUGAACCAAUUUUUUUAUACACAUAAUGUAAAACUUUUAUGUAAAAAUAAUGUAUAGAAACAUGACAAUACUUUAAAGUUUUUUAAUUAUAUUCAAAAUUUUAUGCGUAUACACGAAAUUUGUUUCUAAAAAUCUAACAUUUUAUUUGAAAUCUGAAACUUAACCGAAAACCGAACCUGAAACACAAAAGAAUAAUCUUGAUACCGAAGACAUAUUUCGAAACAGAAAAAUAUAUUUAAUAUACACAAAACAUUUUAGAUACUCAGGAUACCGGUUCAGAUCUCUGUAGAAUCCAAACCUAAACCGACACUGCGGGUC
rnacentral:lncRNA from 1 species